UACGAAGGGGGCUAGCGUUGCUCGGAAUCACUGGGCGUAAAGCGCACGUAGGCGGCUUCUUAAGUCAGAGGUGAAAUCCUGGAGCUCAACUCCAGAACUGCCUUCGAUACUGGAAAGCUCGAGUCCGGGAGAGGUGAGUGGAACUGCGAGUGUAGAGGUGAAAUUCGUAGAUAUUCGCAAGAACACCAAUAGCGAAGGCGGCUCACUGGCCCGGUACUGACGCUGAGGUGCGAAAGCGUGGGGAGCAAACAGG
rnacentral:rRNA from 1 species